UACGUAGGCAGCGAGCGUUGUUCGGAGUUACUGGGCGUAAAGAGCUCGUAGGUGGUUUGUCGCGUUGUUCGUGAAAACUCACAACUCAAUUGUGGGCGUGCGGGCGAUACGGGCAGACUGGAGUACUGCAGGGGGGACUGUGAAUUCCUGGUGUAGCGGUGGAAUGCGCAGAUAUCAGGAGGAACACCGGUGGCGAAGGCGGGUCUCUGGGCAGUAACUGACGCUGAGGAGCGAAAGCGUGGGGAGCGAACAGG
rnacentral:rRNA from 1 species